ensembl:lncRNA novel transcript
GUACUGUUAUCAACUAUGAGCCAUUGCUUAGGGCUGAACCUGUAGUGGCACCAAACAAAAAUGGGGUUAACAAGGAAGGAGAGGAAAAUGGACAUUACGUAACCAACUUGCCUGCCACACAUAGUAAUAAGAACUAUGGCAGUUGGUGACACCCACCUAACAACCUCACAGGUGUAUGUCAAAUACUUCCCAUUCUUGAGGGAAGGCUCCUGCUCCACCUCCUCUAGAAAUAAUUUGCCUAAUUACCAAAAUGCACACAGGUGUUCUUGCUCCCUGACACCUUAUUUCACUGACCUCACAGAUGUGGACAGGCAAUAAUGCACAAGCUCCACUCUCAGUCGUACCGUCAGUAUUUAUGGUCCCGUAUUUUUCUUCGGGCUUCUUCUAUCCUCCACAGCAGGCAGCCUGUGGGCCAAAUAUGCUCUGGUGCUAAUUUUUUUGUAAAGUUUUAUCAGAAUAGACAUACUAAUUCAUUUAGAUAAUAUUUGCAGCUGCUUCACACUUGUUGGGGCAGAAACCACGUGACCUCCAAAGCCAAAAAUAUUUUGUGUCUGGCCCUUUAGAGAGAAAAGUUUGUCAACUAUCUACGUGUACUUCAAUUCUCUGAUGAUAGUGACUACUCUGUCUGCGUGGGUCCUGGAGAGAGGAGGAUGCAGAGCACAGCACUUAGCCAACCUGCAAUGGACACGUAGAAAACCUCAAGAAAGGCUCUGGCCUAGACUUGCCCCUUGUUCCUGUCUUCUGGCUCUUGACUGACACUGGUGCUUUCCCCCUGUGGUCCUGCAUGGUGUGUGGUGACUACCUCAUUGGGCCCUAAAACUUCUAAAAUCAUCAGGAGAUAUCACUGAAAAGGUUUCAAAACAAAGCCAUAAUCUCUAGAAAUGUGUCCUUGAUGGGUUGGUCUUCAUUUGCCUGAAGAAAUUGAGGCUAAGUGAGCCAAGGAAAAAGUCAUCCAUCAAGAACAAAGCAAGAUUUCUCAACCAUGGCAGGACGUUAGGAUCAUCUGUAGAACUUUAAAAUAUUGUUUAAUUUUUUUCAUUUGGUUUCCUUUAUAGUUGAUUUUGUUUAACUUUGCCAGUGAAAUUU